GACAGAGGCCUCAAGCGUUAGGCGGAAUCACUGGGCUUAAAGCGUGUGUAGGCGGAUCGUUAAGUGUCUUGUGAAAUCCCACGGCUCACCCGUGGAACUGCUGGGCAUACUGGCGAUCUUGGGCCAACUAGGGGCAACUGGAACAAGCGGUGGAGCGGUGAAAUGCGUAGAUAUCGCUUGGAACGCCGAAGGUGGAAACAGGUUGCUGGGGUUGUGCCGACGCUGAGACACGAAAGCCAGGGGAGCAAACGGG
rnacentral:rRNA from 1 species